UGACGCUGGCGGCAUGCUUUACACAUGCAAGUCGAGCGGCAGCGCGGGGGCAACCCUGGCGGCGAGCGGCGAACGGGUGAGUAAUACAUCGGAACGUGUCCCGUAGUGGGGGAUAACCCGGCGAAAGCCGGACUAAUACCGCAUAUGCUCUACGGAGGAAAGUGGGGGACCCGCAAGGGCCUCACGCUAUGGGAGCGGCCGAUGUCCGAUUAGCUUGUUGGUGAGGUAACGGCUUACCAAGGCGACGAUCGGUAGCUGGUCUGAGAGGAUGAUCAGCCACACUGGGACUGAGACACGGCCCAGACUCCUACGGGAGGCAGCAGUGGGGAAUUUUGGACAAUGGGGGCAACCCUGAUCCAGCCAUGCCGCGUGCGGGAAGAAGGCCUUCGGGUUGUAAACCGCUUUUGUCCGGAAAGAAAAGGCAUUCCCUAAUACGGAGUGCACUUGACGGUACCGGAAGAAUAAGCACCGGCUAACUACGUGCCAGCAGCCGCGGUAAUACGUAGGGUGCGAGCGUUAAUCGGAAUUACUGGGCGUAAAGCGUGCGCAGGCGGUUCGUGAUGUCUGAUGUGAAAGCCCCGGGCUUAACCUGGGAAUUGCAUUGGAAACUAGCGGGCUGGAGUGUGG
rnacentral:rRNA from 1 species